UACGGGGGGGGCAAGCGUUGUUCGGAAUUACUGGGCGUAAAGGGCUCGUAGGCGGCCAACUAAGUCCGACGUGAAAUCCCCAGGCUUAACCUGGGAACUGCGUCGGAUACUGGAUGGCUUGAAUUCGGGAGAGGGAUGCAGAAUUCCAGGUGUAGCGGUGAAAUGCGUAGAUAUCUGGAGGAAUACCGGUGGCGAAGGCGGCAUCCUGGACCGACAUUGACGCUGAAGAGCGAAAGCUAGGGGAGCAAACGGG
rnacentral:rRNA from 1 species